CUUUUUAGCAGGGGCCUUACGGGUUCGCGCUUUGGUCCUGGAGGCCUUAUCCUAGCCUCCUCUGUAUCAGCGCCACCAGUCUGGGGCCCGAAAGGAGGGAGCUUUCCCUCUGUCCCCCAGCCUUUGGACUGUCACCAAACAAGCCAUUCGUUCACCAAAUACUUAUUAAGCGCCUACCAUGUGCCUGACAAGGGAGAUGUAACGGUGAGAAAAACUAGGUGUGGUCCAUGUCCUCCAGGGGCUCAGGGGCUCGUGGAAGAAGUGGACAUUGAAGUAUUUAUCACACAAAUGAGUAUAAAAGUACAAUAGCGAUAUCUGCCACGAAGGUGAGCAGACAGAGCUAGCGGGGCUUGCAGGAGGAGUUUUGAUCUUGCAGGGACAGGAAGGAGGAGUUAGCUCCUGCGGGGUGGGAUUGGGGGUGGUGGUGAUAUAGACGUGGGGACAGACUGGAAAACAACAAAAAUAUAAUUAUUUUAGUUCAAAGUUAUUGUGUCUUGAGUUGAAAGGCAGGACAGUUAGCAACACAGUUCAGAUUUCAGUACUGCCCCUGAAAUCUGAACUGUGUACAAAGUCUAAAACGUUUACCGUAGCAAAUUCCUCAUAAAACUCCAUUUGGAAGAGUCCCGAGAGCUAAUUUGUUAAGUAUACUUGCAGAAGGUAGAUGAGGAGACAGAUAAAAUCUUAUUACCUCUUUCAGAUGAGAGGCACUUGAGCCCUGCUCAGCUAUGAGAAUAAGAGAGGGGGAAUUAAUUCUAAUUGAAUACACUUGUUCUCUUAUAGCUGUUGUUCCCCACCAGAACCAAAUGAGCGCAAGAUCUGACAAAGAAAAAAAGAAGUUCAUCUUUUAUUCCCCCAAACCCUUUCAUUUAAAUCAAGAGGGUGGGAUGUGGUUAUUGCUGUGUUUUUAGGCAGAAUCAACGGUUUCUGGGUCUGAGAAGUUGCAUACACACUCUCAGUCCCUGUAUCCUGAGAUGGAGUCACCUGAGGAUCCACAGCAAGUCCUAACCAGGGAUGGGUCUGGGUGAUUAAGGAAGGUUGGCUUCAGAACUGGGCCAGAGGCACUGCUUUGCUUUUGCUGUUUUGAUCAGCUCUGUGCCUGCAUGAGACAAGGAAAAUCAAUGGGAACAGGUUAGUUAUAAAUCCUGGGCUUAUUUUAUUAACUCACAUAAUAGCUAUUAAUUGUCUUCCUCCAAGGAGAAAAAGGGCAUAUACGGUCAAUGCCAUAGUAAGUAACACUGUAUUAUGUUAUACUAAAAUAUUAAUCUAGGUUCGUUCAGUCUUUCCUGAUUCCAUAGAUUGGAAGCGGAUUGAAGAAGGACGCUAGUGGACCACAGACCUGAGCCAUGCACACAGAAGAAAUCUUUUUUUCUUUUUUUUUUUUUUUUUGGAGACGGAGUUUUGCUCUCUUGUUGCCCAGGCUGGAGUGCAAUGGCGCGAUCUCGGCUCACUGCAACCUCCACCUCCCAGGUUCAAGCGAUUCUCCUGCCUCAGCCUCCUGAGUAGCUGGGAUUACAGGCAUGAGCCACUAUGCCGGGCCACUUUUGUAUUUUUAGUAGAGACAGGGUUUGAACACGUUGGCCAGGCUGGUCUCAAAUUCCUGACCUCAGGUGAUCCACCCGCCUCUGCCUCCCAAAGUGCUGGGAUUACAGGCGUGACCCACCGCGCCUGGCCAGAAGAAAUCUUUAUCUUGGUGUGCAGUCUCCGGAGAGGGACAAAUGUCAUCUCUCUUGGAUUUGAAUCUGGAAGGAUCAAGGCACUGAAGGGAUUUUUUUGUUUCAGACAGUCUCCCUCUGUCGCCAGGCUGGAGUGCAGCGGCGCGAUCUCAGCUCACGGCAACCUCUGCCUCCCGGGCUCAAGCGAUCCUCCUGCCUCAGCCUCUCGAGUAGCUGGGACUACAGGCACGCGUCACCACGCCCAGCUAAUUUUUGUAUUUUUAGUAGAGACAGGGUUUUACCAUGUUAGCCAGGAUGGGCUCAAUCUCUUGACAUCAUGAUCCACCUGCCUUGGCCUCCCAAAGGGCUGGGAUUACAGGCGUGAGCCACCACGCCCGGCCUCACUGAAGGGAUUUUUUUAAUGUCACGUGGCUCUCACAGGUGCGGUGUGUUUGGGUGCAAGUGAAGAUUACGACUGACGCUUAAAAACAAACGUAAAAUUCCAGGUGGUGUUGCUAUGCGGAGCAGCAUUAGGACAAUCUGAGUGGUUUCAGUUGCAAGAGUGUGCGUGUACGUGCAAGUGCUACAGUCAAGAUUCAACUUCUGGCUUUGAGGGUCUCUUUAAUAACAGUAAUAGCAACCUAAGUCAGUUUAAGAGUAUGGAAUGGUUGCCUUUUAGAAGUUAAGCUAUGGGCAUGGAAGUUCAAUCAGUACUUUGAAGUUUUUCCUUUAUCUCUCCUAUGGUUAAUGGUUUCUGCAGAAAAGGACCAAUUGAUUUCUUUCUAAAAUGUUGCUUCAGGGUGUAGAGUCCUUUAUAGGUCAUGUGUCAACUUACAGAAAAUUUUUAUAGUUCAAAUAUAAAUUACGUUCAAUGUAGACUUUGUAAUAGAAUUUAAGGUUAAGUAAAGUUUCCACUUUCCUUAGGCUGUUUGCAGUGCCCAGCAGGCCCCAUCAUAUCGAGGUGGAAGUUCUGUUAAAGGAGGAGAUUGAUCAGGGAUGGGCAGAAUAAGGAAUAUGCGCAGCUCAGGCUAAUGAUACAAUGAUUGAGAUGUAGAAAGAGGGUCAGGCACGGGAUAACGCCUGUAAUCCCAGUGCUUUGGGAGGCCAAGGCAAGAGGAUCGCUUGAGGUCAGACCAGCCUGGUCAACAGAGUGAGACCUAA
rnacentral:lncRNA from 1 species